AGCAGCCGCGGUAAUUCCAGCUCCAAUAGCGUAUAUUAAAGUUGUUGCAGUUAAAAAGCUCGUAGUUGAAUUUCGGGACCAUCAUGUUGGUCGUGCCUCGGUACGUACUGGCAUUGUUGGUUUCUCCCUUCUGACGAACCAUGAUGUCAUUUAUUUGGUGUCGUGGGGAAUCAGGACUGUUACUUUGAAAAAUUAGAGUGUUUAAAGCAGGCUCACGCUUGAAUACAUUAGCAUGGAAUAAUGAAAUAGGACGUUUGAUUCUAUUUUGUUGGUUUCUAGGAUCGACGUAAUGAUUAAUAGGGAUAGUUGGGGGCAUUAGUAUUCAAUUGUCAGAGGUGAAAUUCUUGGAUUUAUUGAAGACUAACUACUGCGAAAGCAUUUGCCAAGGAUGUUUUCAUUAAUCAAGAACGAAAGUUAGGGGAUCGAAGACGAUCAGAUACCGUCGUAGUCUUAACCAUAAACUAAUGCCGACUAGGGAUCGGAU
rnacentral:rRNA from 1 species